rnacentral:rRNA from 1 species
AUUGAACGCUGGCGGCAGGCCUAACACAUGCAAGUCGGACGGUAGCACAGAGAGCUUGCUCUCGGGCGACGAGUGGCGGACGGGUGAGUAAUGUCUGGGAAACUGCCCGAUGGAGGGGGAUAACUACUGGAAACGGUAGCUAAUACCGCAUAACGUCUUCGGACCAAAGUGGGGGACCUUCGGGCCUCACACCAUCGGAUGUGCCCAGAUGGGAUUAGCUAGUAGGUGGGGUAAUGGCUCACCUAGGCGACGAUCCCUAGCUGGUCUGAGAGGAUGACCAGCCACACUGGAACUGAGACACGGUCCAGACUCCUACGUGAGGCAGCAGUGGGGAAUAUUGCACAAUGGGCGAAAGCCUGAUGCAGCAACGCCGCGUGAGUGAAGAAGGCCUUUGGGUUGUAAAGCUCUUUCGGCUGGGGAGAAGGGGAUAUGUGCUAAUACCACAUAUUUUUGACGGUACCAGCAUAAGAAGCACCGGCUAAUUCCGUGCCAGCAGCCGCCGUAA